rnacentral:rRNA from 1 species
GACGCUGAGGCUCGAAAGUGCGGGAAUCAAACAGGAUUAGAUACCCUGGUAGUCCGCACCGUAAACGAUGAGUGAUGGUCAUUGGCGACAGACGGUCAGUGACUGAGGGAAACCAUUAAGCACUCCACCUGGGGAGUACGCCGGCAACGGUGAAACUCAAAGGAAUUGACGGGGGCCCGCACAAGCGGAGGAACAUGUGGUUUAAUUCGAUGAUACGCGAGGAACCUUACCCGGGUUUGAAAUGUGCAUGACGGUAUCCGGAGACGGAUGCUUCCUUCGGGCAUGCAUGUAGGUGCUGCAUGGUUGUGGUCAGCUCGUGCCGUGAGGUGUCGGCUUAAGUGCCAUAACGAGCGCAACCCUUUCGUCAGUUGCCAUCAGGUGAUGCUGGGCACUCUGUCAGGACUGCCAUCGCAAGAUGUGAGGAAGGUGGGGAUGACGUCAAAUCAGCACGGCCCUUACGUCCGGGGCUACACACGUGUUACAAUGGGGGGCACAGCGCGCAGGCCUAUGGCGACAUGGGUAGAAUCGUGAAAUCCCCUCUCAUUUCGGAAUGGACUUUGCAACCCGACUCCUAGAAGGAGGAUUCGCUAGUAAUCGCGCAUCAGCCAUGGCGCGGUGAAUACGUUCCCGGGCCUUGUACACACCGCCCGUCAAGCCAUGAAAGCCGGGGGUGCCUGAAGUCCGUCACCGCAAGGAUCGGCCUAGGGCAAAACCGGUAAUUGGGGCUAAGUCGUAACAAGGUAACCA